rnacentral:rRNA from 1 species
AUUGAACGCUGGCGGCAUGCCUUACACAUGCAAGUCGAACGGUAACAGGUCUUCGGAUGCUGACGAGCGGCGAACGGGUGAGUAAUACAUCGGAACGUGCCCGAUCGUGGGGGAUAACGGAGCGAAAGCUUUGCUAAUACCGCAUACGAUCUACGGAUGAAAGCAGGGGACCGCAAGGCCUUGCGCGGACGGAGCGGCCGGUGGAAGAUGAGGGAGUUGGUGGGGUAAAAGCUUACCAAGCCGACGAUCUGUAGCUGGUCUGAGAGGACGAACAGCCACACUGGGACUGAGACACGGCCCAGACUCCUACGGGAGGCAGCAGUGGGGAAUUUUGGACAAUCGGCGCAAUCCUGAUCCAGCCAUGCCGCGUGCAGGAUGAAGGCCUUCGGGUUGUAAACUGCUUUUGUACGGAACGAAAAGGUUCUUUCUAAUAAAGGGGACUGAUGACGGUACCGUAAGAAUAAGCACCGGCUAACUACGUGCCAGCAGCCGCGGUAAAAC